CCUACGGGAAGCAGCAGUGGGGAAUAUUGGACAAUGGGGGGAACCCUGAUCCAGCCAUGCCGCGUGUGUGAAGAAGGCCCUCGGGUUGUAAAGCACUUUCAGUGAGGAAGAACGCCUGGUGGUUAAUACCCAUCAGGAAAGACAUCACUCACAGAAGAAGCACCGGCUAACUCCGUGCCAGCAGCCGCGGUAAUACGGAGGGUGCGAGCGUUAAUCGGAAUUACUGGGCGUAAAGCGCGCGUAGGUGGCUUGAUAAGCCGGUUGUGAAAGCCCCGGGCUCAACCUGGGAACGGCAUCCGGAACUGUCAAGCUAGAGUGCAGGAGAGGAAGGUAGAAUUCCCGGUGUAGCGGUGAAAUGCGUAGAGAUCGGGAGGAAUACCAGUGGCGAAGGCGGCCUUCUGGACUGACACUGACACUGAGGUGCGAAAGCGUGGGUAGCAAACAGGAUUAGAUACCCUGGUAGUC
rnacentral:rRNA from 1 species